ACAAAGAUAUUUUCAAAAUGACAUGGCAUUGAGAUCUAGGAUGUUGGUCUGAGGUUUGAAGUACUGAGUAGCCCCAGGAGAAAAUAGGGGAUCCAUGGCUGUAAAUUCAUGCUCUCUUUACAAGGGUUACAUUAUGGAGGGAGAACACUUCUUCAUGGGAGAAGCAAAACUUGUCUAGCCAGGUGCUUUGAAACCCUGUUAAAUUAUUUCCUUUUCUUUUGCCUGUGAACUCCAGGCAGUUACCACAUGGAACAUGUGCUGCCAUUGGAUUCGUAUUUUAUCCUUGGAGAUGGGACGCAUGGAAAUCCUAUUGAAUCCAACACACACAUUCCAGAGAAAAAUAUGCUUGCAAAUCUGUGUACCACUGCAGAGAUGAGUCUAAAGGGAUUUCAUCCAUCAAACGGAACAAUAUAAUGACUUUUGAUCUCCACUGUGGUGAGAGAAUGAAAAUAAGAAAAAAAAAGAAGGAAAAGAAGCAGCAGAGAAGGUAAGAAAUAGUGUCAAAUAUACUAGGAAUUGUGUAGAAUAUACUAGGAAUUCCUUCAAUAUUUUACACUUCAAAAUAUGUGUAUUUGGGUUGUGAAUUCCUUCACAAUUGUUAUAAGACCUGCUGUAAAAUGUCCAGAAAUAUGAGGGGCCUAGGGAAUUCAUUUCUUUUUAGAGUGGAGUCUGCCAGUAGAGGAAAUGUGGCAGAAGGGUCCCUUGGAAUGUUUUGAGGACAAAGCAGCACAUAAUGCAAAGUUUUGGUGCCCAUAGCUAUCAUUUAGAUGUUUUCAGGUAUGGUUCAAAUGUCCAAAGACUGCCUGACAUUGGAAAAAACAGUGAUACAUUUUGUGCCAGAGUAGGUAUCACAGGUACCAGGACAAACCUGAUAGAAAUGGUAGCAAAGUGAAGCACUGGAGUAGAUUGCCCAGAGAGGUGGUGGAUGCACUGUCCCUGGAGACACUCAAGAUCAGACUGGACAGGGCUCUGAGCAACCUGAUGUAACUGUAGGUGUCCCUGUUCAUUGCAGGGAAGUUGGACUAGAUGGCCUUUAAAGGUCCCUUGCAACUCAAAGCACUUCUAUGAUUCUGUGAAAUGCAGUCUUCUGCCCAAAUCCAGUUCAUGUCAAACUUGUACUCCAAAGCAUUCUUGUGAUGUAGAGACCCAGAACCUGUGGCUAUGAAACCAUAAUGUGAGGCUCUAUUUUAGCCUUCCCCUCCCAUUGUUGGGUAUUCUAGUUUUAUGUCACAUACAACAGACAGUAGAAUAGGAACAGAGGGCAGGAGUGUUCAUAUCUCCCACCUGAAAGUUAUUUAUCUGCUUUAGAGGUAGUUUCUGAAAGAUCUUCUUUGUGAUUGUCUUAUGGCCAAACUACACUGCAGAGAAGGGAUUUAUUAAAGCAUGACAGAACUGAGAGUGUAGGGAGAAGCAC
rnacentral:lncRNA from 1 species